GGCUGAAAAGAAAAUGUUGAAUAUCCAUCAUUCGUGUUAGCAUUGGUGGAAUGCUAACACGAAUGAAGGAUAUUCAACAUUUUCUUGAUAGCC